GAUGAACGCUGGCGGCGUGCCUAAAACAUGCAAGUCGAGUGCACUUCGGGUGCACGGCGAACGGGUGAGUAAUACAUUGGAAUCUGUCCUUUUCUCAGGGAUAACCCAUCGAAAGGUGGGAUAAUACCUGAUAGUCCCUUCGGGGUAAAGUUCCGGCGGAAAAGGAGGAGCCUAUGUCCUAUCAGCUUGUUGGUGGGGUAAUGGCCUACCAAGGCAACGACGGGUAGCUGGAUCGAGAGGUUGACCAGCCACACUGGGACUGAGACACGGCCCAGACUCCUACGGGAGGCAGCAGUUAGGAAUCUUGCACAAUGGGCGAAAGCCUGAUGCAGCGACGCCGCAUGAACGAUGAAGGCCUUAGGGUUGUAAAGUUCUUUUAACAGGGAAGAUUAUGACGGUACCUGUUGAAUAAGUCACGGCUAACUACGUGCCAGCCGCCGCUGUAA
rnacentral:rRNA from 1 species